rnacentral:rRNA from 1 species
GAUGAACGCUAGCUACAGGCUUAACACAUGCAAGUCGAGGGGAAACGACAUCGAAAGCUUGCUUUUGAUGGGCGUCGACCGGCGCACGGGUGAGUAACGCGUAUCCAACCUGCCCACCACUUGGGGAUAACCUUGCGAAAGUAAGACUAAUACCCAAUGAUAUCUCUAGAAGACAUCUGAAAGAGAUUAAAGAUUUAUCGGUGAUGGAUGGGGAUGCGUCUGAUUAGCUUGUUGGCGGGGUAACGGCCCACCAAGGCAACGAUCAGUAGGGGUUCUGAGAGGAAGGUCCCCUACAUUGGAGCUGAGACACGGUCCAAACUCCUACGGGAGGCAGCAGUGAGGAAUAUUGGGCAAGGGAGGAGAGUCUGACCCAGCCAAGUAGCGUGCAGGAAGACGGGCAUAUGGGUUGUAAACUGCUUUUAAAAGGGAAUAAAGUGAGUCUCGUGAGACUUUUUGCAGGUACCUUAUGAAUAAGGACCGGCUAAUUCCGUG